rnacentral:rRNA from 1 species
GACGAACGCUGGCAGCGUGCUUAACACAUGCUAGUCGAACGCUGAAACCCUGGUGCUUGCACCGGGGUGGAUGAGUGGCGAACGGGUGAGUAACACGUGAGUAACCUGCCCCCGACUUCGGGAUAAGCCCGGGAAACUGGGUCUAAUACCGGAUAUGAGCGCCCCUCGCAUGAGGGAUGCUGGAAAGUCUUUUCGGUUGGGGAUGGGCUCGCGGCCUAUCAGUUUGUUGGUGAGGUAAUGGCUCACCAAGACGACGACGGGUAGCCGGCCUGGGAGGGCGACCGGCCACACUGGGACUGAGACACGGCCCAGACUCCUACGGGAGGCAGCAGUGGGGAAUAUUGCACAAUGGGGGAAACCCUGAUGCAGCGACGCAGCGUGCGGGAUGACGGCCUUCGGGUUGUAAACCGCUUUCAGCAGGGAAGAAGCCCCUUGGGGUGACGGUACCUGCAGAAGAAGUACCGGCUAACUACGUGCCAGCCGCCGCCGUAA